rnacentral:ncRNA from 2 species
UGACCUCGUACGGGAGAGACCUCGCCCCGCGCGGGCACGAGGCGCCGAAGGAGCAACUCCUCCCCGGAAUCUCUCAGGCACAGCGACCGUACGAGCGAG